rnacentral:rRNA from 1 species
AAUGAACGCUGGCGGCAUGCCUAACACAUGCAAGUCGAGCGAGCGGCGGACGGGUGAGUAAUGUCUGGGAAACUGCCUGAUGGAGGGGGAUAACUACUGGAAACGGUAGCUAAUACCGCAUACCAUCAGAUGUGCCCAGAUGGGAUUAGCUAGUAGGUGGGGUAACGGCUCACCUAGGCGACGCGCCCUAGCUGGUCUGAGAGGCUGACCAGCCACACUGGAACUGAGACACGGUCCAGACUCCUACGGGAGGCAGCAGUGGGGAAUAUUGCACAAUGGGCGCAAGCCUGAUACAGCCAUGCCGCGUGUAUGAAGAAGGCCUUCGGGUUGUAAAGUACUUUCAGCGAGGAGGCGUUACUCGCAGAAGAAGCACCGGCUAACUCCGUGCCAGCAGCCGCGGUAAUUC